GACGAACGCUGGCGGCGUGCUUAACACAUGCAAGUUGAGCGCCCCGCAAGGGGAGCGGCAGACGGGUGAGUAACGCGCGGGAACGUACCCUUUGCUACGGAAUAGCUCCGGGAAACUGGAAUUAAUACCGUAUGUGCCCUACGGGGGAAAGAUUUAUCGGCAAAGGAUCGGCCCGCGUUGGAUUAGCUAGUUGGUGGGGUAAUGGCCUUCCAAGGCGACGAUCCAUAGCUGGUCUGAGAGGAUGAUCAGCCACAUUGGGACUGAGAAACAGCCCAAACUCCUACGGCAGGCAGCAGUGGGGAAUAUUGGACAAUGUGCGCAAGCCUGAUCCAGCCAUGCCGCGUGAGUGAUGAAGGUGUUAGGAUUGUAGAGCUCUUUCACCGAUGAAGAUAAUGACGGUAGUCGGAGAAGAAGCCCCGGCUAACUACGUGCCAGCCGCCGCGGUAAAAC
rnacentral:rRNA from 1 species